GAGUGGUGUGGACAAUGUUGGGAUAGGUGAGUGGUGUGGACAAUGUUGGGAUAGGUGAGUGGUGUGGACAAUGUUGGGAUAGGUGAGUGGUGUGGACAAUGUUGGGAUAGGUGAGUGGUGUGGACAAUGUGGGGACAGCUGAAUGGUGUGGACAAGGCUAGGAAAAUGGCUUACCGAGCAGGUUUUGAAGGAUUCCGGGUGAGUCGGGGACAAACCGUAGGUACGGCUUUACACUAACGCGUGCUUUGCACUUGCUUCUCCAUCAACAACUAUUCUGUUGACUGCAGAUGAGUAUCACAGUCUCGCUCCCUCUGCUACACAGUGCGCAGAGCGAUCGAUUCACCUUCAACACAGCAUGAAGGUCAAAUGAAGGCACCACGCCAUGACGAAAUGCCACAAAAGCGAAGUUUUGCCGUCAAUUUCUCACGGUUCCACUAUAUUCACGGUAGUUUCAUUGCAGCUAUAGUUUCAGAGUCUCAAGCACCACGCGCACACACGGGCAUAAGAAGCCAUAGAGCACACUAGCAAAGAACUAUGCCAGUGUACCCACUGGGUCUGGGAAUGACGCACAGAAACAGAGAGUUGAGUGUGUGUGGCUUCUGUGGCCAUCUCGCGUGAUACAUGCAGAUAUUUGCAUUGCCUACAUCAAGGUUGCAUUUUAUCGCCAACGGAUCUUAUCUAUGAUCUGUAUGGCAGGUAGUAAAUGAUGAUGCCACCUACUAGUGAUACACGCAGACCACUACUCGCCCUCAGCCCGAGGGAAUGCAUUACCAUUCAGGAACAUAUAGUGACAAGUUCAGAGAGCACCGCUCUCAGCAGAUGUA